GAUUGUACCAUUGUUUUCAGUGUGAAAAUGUAAAUUGAUAAGUCUCACAUUGCUGACAAUGGUAUGUUUUUCU
rnacentral:pre_miRNA from 1 species